rnacentral:tRNA from 1 species
GGGCGGUUAGCUCAAUGGUGGAGCACUUCGUUUACACCGAAGGGGUUGGGAGUUCGAGUCUCUCACCGCCCA